AAGGAUCAUUAAUGGGUUAACGCCUUCGGGCACAAUCCCCACCCUUUGUAACUGCGGCCCGGAUUCGGCGCCUGGCGGGGAGCACCCUCUGUUCGCGGAGGGCCCCGCCUGCCGGAAUUAGCCAACCCUGCCUAGAAAAUUGAAGUCUGAGAACAAGUUAAAUUAAACAAAACUUUCAACAACGGAUCUCUUGGUUCUG
rnacentral:misc_RNA from 1 species